rnacentral:lncRNA from 1 species
CCCCGCUGAACAAGGCCCCAACUUGCCCACGAGGAGAGGAGUCCAGAAGAGUGUCUCAGCCAUGGCUGCCCGGCCUGGCCCGCCCGGCCAAGCUGGGUGUCCCCUUAGCCCCUGCGUGCUUUCCUGGGCACAACACAAUCACACAGACUGCUCCAAGCUCCUCGAAGACUAGGAUCUUGUCACGUUUGUAUCCUUGGGCCUGGCACAGGGCCUGGUAACUAGUAGGUGUAGCUGGCUGGCGGCAGCUUCCUUAACAGCAAACGUAGGUGCCAUCCACCCAGCCUUUAUCCCCAGUCCAAGCACUUCAGCGUGGAGGUCUAGCAAGCCCUGGACAGGACCAGCCAGCUAGAGACAGACAUUUUGGGAUACCAGCCUGGAGACCUAAAUGUACCCAGAAUCCCCCGCCUUUUUAUCGGUGGAUUUCAGCCCUCAAAGCGUUCCGUGAGCCUCUGACCGCCCAAAUCCAUCACACAUGAGUUGGAAUGCCAGGGACCAUUCCCGGCCAAACGUUAGAUUACAGGAGUAAGAGAGAAGAGGAGGGACUGUCCGAGGUGCCUCGGCACUAUGGCUGCACAGCUGGAUCUCUGGACACGGAGCCCUGGACCGUUUCCACCCAGACACUCCCAUUCCAUCAAGUGGGGGUGUGGACGUUUAUGCAAUUCUGGAAGGUCUCCUGGUGGGGACCCCUGGGAAAGAGACUAAUAAGAAAGCAUCCAGUUUCUUCGGUCUCUGACGUUGUUGUCUGCACAAGAGAGUUAAGGCAGCCAUCUUGGGACCAUGAGGGAGCCAGUCUAAGAGGCAAAUCAACACAAUGAGAGGGUGUUGGAAAAAGACAAAAAGAACCUGGUCCUUGAUGUCACAGCCAGGCCUCUGAAUUAACCACCCCCAGGACUUCUUGUUACGUGAGCUAAUAAACGUUCCUUUUUGCUUAAACCCCUUCUAGUUGGGCUUUCUGUUGUAACUUGCACCGAAAACUACAAUAGGAUAGCAAAGGAUAUGAACAUAAGUGAUUUGCCUAGAGGAAACCCACAUGGUCAAUGAGAAUAAGAUGCUCAGCCUCAUAGGCAGGGAAUGCAGCUUCAAAUGAGAUGCCACUUCAUGCCUAUCAGAUUGGCAAACAUAAGUCUAACAAGAGCAAAAGUUGGCAAGGAUGUGGUAAAACAGGAUGUCUUGUACAAACGCUGGUGGUGAGAGGAUCAAUUGGUUCAGACGCUGUAGAGAGCAGUUUGGCAGUACUAGUCAACUUCAAAGUGUGCCUGCCCGACAAUCCUAGCUUUCUAAGUAUAUGCCCUAAUAAUGGGUUCAGAGAAAAGUCCAAGCAUGUUCAUUGAAGCCCUGUUUAUAUAACAGCAAAACAGGCCCGGUGCAAUGGCUCAUGCCUGUAAUCCCAGC